AGACUCACAGCCACAGCGUCUACAAUACACACAGCUGCUGCCUGGCUGCGUGACAAAGGUGUCUUGGCAGAAGCAUUUUGGCUGUCUGAAAUACAGCCUUUGCACAAUCCUGAGACUAUAUUUUACAAGUUCAUUUUCUAACAUCCAGGCACGCUUUUAUGGCAUCUGGAGCAUUUUGCUGAAUGACUUGGUAGUGCACUGCUGACCAGACAGCACAUUUCCAGAUUUAGAUUAUAAGAGAAAAACAGCAAGUGGUAAGUUCAGCUGCAGGUCAAUGGAUACUUAUACUACAGUUCCCUCACUGAGCACUGGGCUACUUUAUCCCAUGGGGACCAAUCCUGUAAAGUGUAUUCAACAGAGAUGGCCCUAGGUGUUUGCUUUUAUGGUUGUUAGCCACAUUCACACUGGGAAUGUGCUGUUAUCACAUUGUAAACAUUAUUCUUAAUAUCAGAAAGAAAACUGGGGAGAGUGUCAAGAAUUGGCAUGCACAAACUGAUAGAAUUGCCAGUGGACGUUCUUAUUUUCUGAGCAUUUAUGAGCUGCAGGAGGUAGGUGCAGUCUGUAAAACAAAGGUGGUGAGAAACAUUAACCAUUUUUUAUUGAUUUUAUUUCAAACUGUGUACAUCUUACACGUUUUAGGUUCUUUGUAAUGUUGGGAUAAUUUGGAGGGGACAUAAUGAUGUUCACUGACAAAUAGCUUUCUGAAAAAGUCAGGAGUUCAUACAUUAUCCUGCAUUGAUGAAAGACUUUCAGCCUUUCAAAGCAUUAUUAGACUUACUACUUAAAAUUUUUGCCCAGCUUGUUCAAUUUUACUCUUAAGAAGAAGGGAGGGUUAAAAAAAUAGUAGUAUUAAAUAUAUGAAAUCUUAAUUUUAAAUGAUGGCUGUCAUCAAGUGUGCCCUCAAUGAGAACAAACAUUUUUAUACAUUUGUACUAGAGAUGCCCAGUAUUGCUUGCUCACCCUCAGUCCCUGUUGUCUUUAAUAAUCGUGUUAUAUACAACACAAUUUCACCCUGUCUGUUCCUUCAGCCUACCCCUGUUCCAUACCUUCCCCAGCUAUUAGACUUGGGUGGUCCCUUGACUUCACAUCCAGAAAUGUCUACAGCUCAGACUGACCAGUUACCAGGUUCUGUGUGCACUGGCCUACACAGAUAUUAUGAGUCCUUCAGAAUCAGAAGAUGGGAAACUGAAGCCUAUGCCAGCCAACCAAAAAGGUCAUAGGUAGACUGAUAGCUAAGGCAGCCAUUUUGGUCAUGUGCAAGGUAUCAGUUGGUAAAGGGAAAAAAAUGAAACUCACAUGUAGAGAGAGAUGUGAUUAAAGAAAGAAAAGAAGUAAGUAACUGCCUGGGAUCCUGAUAGUUUCUGAGCCAGACCUAGGCCAUUUAUCUUUAAAAUAAAUCGACUUUUUCCUUGAGGUAACCUGAAUGAGGCUCAAUCUUUACAGCCAAAGAAAAAUUAUCCUUAUCAGUGAUGUCUGCCUGGUGGCUGGUGAAUGGUAAAAACUGGCAGGAGAGACCAAUCCGAUGGGAAAUCAAGUUCAGGAACAAGAGAGCAAACAGCCACAAGUGGGAGGAAUAUUUAGAAGCGAGGAGUCCCCUUGGAGAACUUGACCUGGUCUGACAAUCAGGAGCAGACUCGAAUCUUCUGUUCCCUCUGUCGAGAUGCCUCGUCUCUCUAGGUCUUGCUGACUUGAAUGUGUGUGGAGAGUUCAAAGCCAGGAAAGGAUAUGUUUGAGGUAACCUGCUUUCCUACCCUAUUUAGAUUUUAGGUUAAUUUUAAAAAUGUUUCCCUUUUGUAUAAGAUUAUUUUGAUGCUUUUAGACCCUAUCAUUACCCUAUUAUUUAUUACACUGAAGAAUCUAUUUAAAUAUUGGCCUCACUACAGGCCACCCUCAAAGUGGGCCAGUUCUUAGGGCUCAUAGGGGAACUAUGACCCAGUGUACCCCUACAGAAAAGCCACUGUCUCCAUGGCUUCUGGUUGCCUCUAGAUAGAAAUCUAAAAGCCCACUGAUGAGUUUGUGACAUUUAGCAAUUGCCAACCUUUGCCUAGACUACCAUCAUGUGUCCUGGGAAGAUGCCCCCUUCCUGAUCCACAGACCUCUUUUCUCCAUGUUGUAUUUCUCGGGAUUUGGAACUUUUCUAGAUGACAGUUGUUUUUCUUGCUCAAAGGGAGGGUAGCAUGCCUUUCUCUGAGCCAUGUUCCCCCGCCCCCUUCCACUUAGAGCCUGCCUCUUUCUGACCAGCUCCACCUGCCCCUGCAGCAGCCCUACUGCCCUAUGUACCAGCUGCAACUGGUUUUGUGUAUGAUUAUGUAUUUAAAACAAUUUGUGUUCCUGUCUCUUUUCAUUAUGUCCAUCCUCUCUACUCCUCUGGAUUACAAGUGUCGUGAGAAGGGGGGUUGAGGCUCCUAUUUCCUGUAGGGCUUAGAUUACUGAGGCGCAGUUGGCUGGCGGCUGGGCAGACUGAACCCUGCUGUUCAAAGGCAGAUGGGAGAGCCGGGGCGGGGGAUCUGAGCCACCAGCCCAGUGGUCCAGAGCAGUUGUCUGAGGCAGGACACCAGGCUGCAACACUAAUUUGCCAUGUGACUCUAUUUUAUUUUAUUUUAUUUUUGAGACAGGGUCUUGCUCUGUCACCUAGGCUGGAGUGCAGUGGCGUGAUCUCAACUCACUGCAACCUCCACCUCCUGGGUUCAAGCAAUUCUCCUGCCUCAGCUUCCUAAGUAGCUAGGAUUACAGGCAUGCGCCAACGCGACCAGCUAAUUUUUGUAUUUCUAGUAGAAACGGGGUUUCACUAUGUUGGCCAGGCUGGUUUUGAACUCCUGAUCUCAAGCAAUCUGCCUGCCUCAGCCUCCCAAAGUGCUGGGAUUACAGGCGCAAGCCAGAGCGCCCAGCCGCCAUGUGACUUUAGACUGGAUUUCAGUUUCCUUGUCUAAGUGUCUCCUCAUGUCGGGAUCCUGUGGUGUGAUGUCUGGGAGAGUACCCUGAACUUAGUACUUAAAGUAUUAAGACUAUGUCAUAAUGUCUCAUUCUUAGACCCUGUCGAGUAUGUGUAGGGCCGGAAAAUGUCCUUCAGGCUUCUUUGAGUUGGGUCUGGAUCCUGAACCACUAGGUUUUAAUCCUUGUCCUCAUCAGAGGGACAGACAGUAUUGAGUGACCCAGGGGACAAAGUCAAAAUGGCUGUGGGCACUGGCAAGAGAGGAGGCUCUCAAAUAAGGAAACAAUGGCAUGAAAAAGUUUUAACAUUAUAUAUAUAUAUAUAUAUAUAGUUAAUACACAUGCUUGUAUGUUUUUGUGUAUGUUCAUGUGUGUAUGUGUAUGUAUAUAAAAGCAUCAAAAUUGAUAUAUAUCAUAGGGAAAACCAAAACUUGGUAAGAUUUCAUUUUACCCGUUUUACAGUCUAAACCUUAAAACUGCUUGCAAUUUUAAUUAUCAAUGAGGAAUGGACAUAAUAAUCUGUUCAGUGCUCAGGGGCUCUGAAGCCCUUAAAUUCUUGAUGUAGGAACUCUCCCUCCAACCCAGAGUGCCAGGGUUUUGCUUGCCACCUCUUCUGAUCUGUCCUUACCUUCUCCGUGUUUUCCAUUGGUGAAGAUACAUCUAUGUCUCAGCUCAAGCCCUGCUCCCAUUGCAUUGGAACAGUGUGUAGCUGUGCACACUGUCCACACUUAAGAAAGGGUGAUGCCAGACUCAAAAAGCCUUGGGGAAGAGAAAGCUCAUCCCCUUUAGAUGAAAGAAAUCCUGGAGUGAGGCCAGGUGGAAUAUUCUCAAGUCAUUCCUGAUGUGUCAUUUGUCUACAGCAGAGCAAAUUAUGGCUGCCUUUUAUGGGCAUUUGAAAGGCCAAAGGCAGCGAUCCACUCUGAGUAUAUACCCCAAAGAAUUGAAAGCAGGGUCUUGAAGAGAUAUUUACAUAGUCAUGUUCACAGUAGCAUUAUUCACAAUAGCCAAGAAUGUUGAUUGCAACCCAACCCAAAUGUUCAUUGACAGAUGAGUGGAUAAAAUAUGGUAUGUACAUAUUCUAUACAUAUGUCUACAUUAGGCUAAAUGAAUUAGCCAGUCAUAAAAAGAUAAAAACUGUAGGAUUCUAGUUGUAUGAGGUACCUAGAGUAGUCAAAUUCAUAGAAACAGAAAGUGGAACAGUGAUUGCUUGGGGUUGUGGGAAGGAGGAAAUGGAGAGUUAUUGCUUAAUGGAUGUGGAGUUUCAGCUUUGCAAGAUAAAAAGAGUUCUGAAGAUUGCACAACAGUGUGAGUGUACUUAACACUACCGAACUGUACACUUAAAAAUGGUUAAGAUGGUGAAUUUUAUGUUAUAUGUAUUUUACCACAAUUAAAAACAAACAAAUCCUAAUGCCCAGGCUGCACCACAGACCAAUUAAAUCAGAAUCUCUGUGGGUGGCUUUCAGAUAUCCUUAUUUUUUCAAUUUCCCCAGGCUAAGCUAAGGUGGAGAACCACUGGACCAGAGGCAGGAAAUGCAAUCUUGAGGUGGUAGCUGUAAACCAGGGGUGAAAUGAAAAGAAUGGAAUCACAGGGAAUAAAACAAAUUGGAUGGUUUGGACAGUCAGUCUUCAGCGAUAGAUCAGAUAUGGAACGAAGGAAAGAAGAAGGAAAAAGAAAAAUAAUGGAUCAAAGAAGUUUCCAAGGGCCUAGACUAAAUUGUGGAUUUAUGGAAAAACUGAAUGUUUAUUGGUAGGUGUUGGGAGUGAUUAUUUAUUUUAGUUUAUGGUAAUGCAGGUAGAAAUUUCUUAGAGGCAGCUGGAAAUUUUCAUUGCCAAAAUUAUUCAUGUAUUUCCCUUGUAGAAGCCAGAGUUUCAUUUUACAGUAAAAAUGAACUUUUAAAAAAACAUUUGUUCAUUUAUUUGUUUCUUUUUAAGUGUUUAAUUGUUAGAGGCAGCUGGAAAUUUUCAUACUCAAAAUUAUUCAUGCAUUUCCCCCAUGGAAGCCAGAGUUUCAUUUUACAUUAAAAAUUAACUUUUAAAAAAUAUUUGUUCACUUAUUUGCUUCUUUUUAAGCAUUUAACGGACAGAUAAAGAGUGAAUACAUUAAAAUUAUACAACAUGAUGAUUUGAUAUAAGUAUACAUUGUAAUGAUUAUCAUAAUCAAAUUAAUGAACACAUUCAUCACCACCCAUGCUGUACAUUAGAUCCCCAGACCUUGUUCAUCUUAUAAACUGAAAGUUCGUGCCUUUUGAUCAACAUCCUCCCACUUUCUCCAGUCCCCUGGCCCUGGCAACCAGCAUUUUACUCUCUGUUUCUAUGAGUUUGACUUUUUUAGAUUCUAAAUAUAAUUGGGGUUAUGCAGUAUUUGUCUUUCUGUGUCUGGCUCAUUUGACUUAGCAUAAUGUCUUCCAGGUUCAUCCAUGUUGUUGCAAAUGACAGGAUUUCCUUCUUUUUUAUGGCAGAAUAAUAUUCGAUUGCAUAUAUGUAUCUGUAUCCAUUCAUCUGUUGAUGGAUGCUUAGGUUAAUCCCAUAUCUUGGGUAUUUUGAAUAAUGCUGCAUUGAACAUAUGAUUGCAGAUAUUUUUUUGAGCCAUCGAUUUCAUUUUCUUUGGAUAUUUUUAUCCAAAAAACCCCAAAACAACAACAACAACAACAAAAGAAGAAAAAUUGCCCAGGGAGCAUUAUAUCUUCAGGAGCCAAGAAUAAACCUAGUUUCAGAGUUCCUUUUGGCAAAGCCAUGAAGUUGGAGAGCUUUGUCUGUGGCAAUCCUUCUCUUGCUGUCUCCUACCUGCCUCUGAAUGUUCUGUGGGCCUCCACUUUCUCAGGAUCCCAUUCAAGUCACAUUGCCCUGUUCCUCCUCUCUUUCUAGAAAUUCCUGGUAAACAAGUAAAUCCCAUAGUAAACAAAUUUGCGUGAAGGCAAUAGAAACUCCCACACUAUUUUUUCUAAGAGCAUUCACAUUUUUAAAAUAAAUGGAAUGAAGAGAUCAAUACUUAUUAUAAAAUAAUAAAACUAGAAUGGUGAUAUUUCAGGAAGGAGAAAUUUUGGAUAAGAUUGCCAUUUCUGGCCUCUUGGAAGCACCUCUGUAAAUAGUUCUGCUUAGGUGUUCAGACCUGGGUGGGCAAGAGGGGUAUUCAGUGAUUUGCAUGGACCCAGAGAGUCAGCAGAUGGGUGCUGGGAGGAGGAUACUGAGUCACAUAUGUGGUCUAGACAUAUGGAUGAUGGGAAAGAAAAGUCAUUUAUGACAUUAAAUAUAUCACCUUCCAGUGCCACUAAAUCAUGUUUUCUGAGCAGAGCAGAGUCACAGCUCCCUACUUUACCCUGUGGUAUUCAGCAGGCCAAAGAUUUAAGGAAGGACUUAAAAAGUGUCCUUUGGAUGCCUUCAUCACAGUGCCUGAAAUUGCAUGCUGUGACUACAAGCCUUUGUCAUGUUUACUGAUAUGGUUUGACUCUGUCCCCACCCAAAUCUCAACUUGAAUUGUAACUCCCAGAAUUCCCACGUGUUGUUGGAGGGACCCAGGGGGGAGGUAAUUGAAUUAUGGGGGCUGGUCUAUUCUUGUGAUCAUGAAUAAAUCUCAUGAGAUCUGAUGGGUUUAUCAGGGGUUUCCACUUUUGCUUCUUCCUCAUUUUUCUCUUGCUGCCACCAUGUAAGAAGUGCCUUUUGUCUCCUGCCAUGAUUCUGAGGCCUCCCCAGCCACGUGGAACUGUAAGCCCAAUUAAACCUCUUUUUGUUCCCAGUUUCGGCUGUCUUUAUCAGCAGUGUGAAAACUGUAUUAGUCUGUAAUACAGUAAAUUGGUACCAGCACAGUGAGGUGCUGCUGGAAAGAUACCCAAAAAUGUGGAAGCAACUUUGGAACUGGGUAACAGGCAGAGGUUGGAAUAGUUUGGAGGGCUCAGAAGACAAGAAAAUGUUGGGAAGUUUGGAACCUCCUGGAGACUUGUUGAAUGGUUUUGACAAAAAUGCUGAUAGUGGUAUGAACAAUAAGGUCCAUGGUGCGGUGGUCUCAGAUGGAGAUGAGGAACUUGUUGGGAACUGGAACAAAGGUGACUCUUGCUAUGUUUUAGCGAAGAGACUGGUGGCAUUUUACUCCUGCCCUAGAGAUCUGUGGAGCUUUGAACUUGAAAGAGAUGAUUUAAGGUAUCUGGUGGAAGAAAUUCCUAAGCAGCAAAGCAUUCAAAAGGUGACUUGGGUGCUGUUAAAAGCAUUCUGUUUUAAAAGGGAAACAGAGGAUAAAAGUUCAGAAAAUUUGCAGCCUGACAAUGCAGUAGAAAAGAAAAACCAAUUUUUUUUUUAAGGUGAAAUUUAAGGCGGCUGCAGAAAUUUGCAUAAGUAGCAAGUAACCUGUUAAUCCCCUAGACCAUGGGGAAAAUGUCUCCAGGCCAUGUCAGAGACCUUCAUGGCAGCCCUUCCCAUCACAGGCCCGGGGGCCCAGGAGGAAAAAGUGGUUUUGUGGGCCAGGCCCAGGGUCCCCAUGCUGUAUACAGCCUAGGGACUUGGUGCCCUGUGUCCCAGCCGCUCCAGCCUUGGCUGAAAAAGGCCAACACAGAGCUCGGGCUGCAGCUUCAGAGGGUGGAAGCCCCAAGCCUUGGCAGCUGCCAUGUGGUGUUGAGCCUGUGGGUGCACAGAAGUCAAGAAUUGAGGUUUGGGAACCUCCGCCUAGAUUUCAGAUGUAUGGAAAUGCCUGGAUGCCCAGGCAGAAGUUUGCUGCAGGGGCAGGGUCCUCGUGGAGAACCUCUGCUAGGGCAGUGCGGAAGGGAAAUGUGGGGUUUGAGUCCCCUACACAAAGUCCCUACUGGGACACUGCCUAGUGGAGCUGCGAGAAGAGGACCACCAUCCUUCAGACCCCAGAAUGUCCCGUCAGCUUGCACUGUGCACCUGGAAAAGCUGCAGACACUCAACGCCAGCCUGUGAAAGCAGCCAGGAGGGAGGCUGUACCCUGCAAAGCCACAGGGGUGGAACUUCCCAAGACCAUGGGAACCCAUCUCUUGCAACAGUGUGACCUGGAUGUGAGACCUGGAGUCAAAGGAAAUCAUUUUGGAGCUUUAAAAAUUGACUGCCCCAUUGGAUUUAGGACUUGCAUGGGCCCUGUAACCCCUUUGUUUUGGCCAAUUUCUCCCAUUUGGAAUGGCUGCAUUUACCCAAUACCUGUACCCCCAUUGUAUCUAGGAAGUAACUAGCUUGCUUUUGAUUUUACAGGCUCAUAGGUGGAAGGGACUUGCCUUGUCUCAGAUGAGACUUUGGACUGUGGACUUUUGGGUUAAUGCUGAAAUGAGUUAAGACUUUGGGGGACUGUUGGGAAGGCAUGAUUGGUUUUGAAAUGUGAGAACAUGAGAUUUGGAGGGGCCAGGGGUGGAAUGAUAUGGUUUGGCUGUGUCCCCACCCAAAUCUCAACUUGAAUUAUAUCUCCCAGAAUUCCCACAUGUUGUGGGAGGAACCCAGGGGGAGGCAAUUGAAUCAUGGGAGCUGGUCUUUCCCAUGCUAUUCUCAUGAUAGUAUAUAAGUCUCACAGGAUCUGAUGGAUUUAUCAGGGGUUUCCACUUUUGUUUCUUUCUCAGUUUUCUCUUGCUACCACCAUGUAAGAAGUGCCUUUUGCAGGCGCGGUGGCUCAUGCCUGUAAUCCCAGCACUUUGGGAGGCUGAGGCAGGUGGAUCACGAGAUCAGGAGUUCGAGACCAGCCUGACCAACAUGGUGAAACCCCAUCUCUACUAAAAAUACAAAAAUUAGCUGGGUGUGGUGGCAGAUGCCUUUAAUACCAGCUACUCAGGAGGCUGAGGCAGGAGAAUUACUUGAACCCAGGAGGCAGAAGUUGCAGUGAGCUGAGAUCGCACCAUUACACUCCAGCCUGGGCGGUAGAGUGAGACUCUGUCUCAAAAAAAAAAAAAAAAAAACAACUGCCUUUUGCCUUCUGCCAUGAUUCUGAGGCCUCCCCAGCCAUGUGGAACUGUAAGUCCAAUUAAACCUCUUUUUGUUCCCAGUUUCAGGUAUGUCUUUAUCAGCAGUGUGAAAAUGGACUAAUACAUUUACUUUGGACAAUUUAAGCAGGAAAGUCCAGGCUACUCCUGGAAAUGACGAUAACAAGAAAGAGACAAAGCACCUGAAAAAGCAUGUAGAGUUGUUGAGCUUUUAUCUUUCUUUCUGGUUCAGCAUCUGGCAUAGUAGGUGCUAGACUGACACUUGUUGAAUGAAUGGAGGUAUAGUAGAAAUAGCUUCUCUGGGAUUAAUUUUAUGGUUUGUAGUUUUGUUGCACUAUGUAUGGGUGGCAUGUUGAAGGAAAACCCUGAAGGCCUAGAUUCCAGUCCCACUUUCGCCACUCAUUACUUCUGUGACAUUGGCCCAGACACUUUGACUUCUCUGGAUCUCAUUUCCUACUUGUAAAACAGGGACAAUAAUGCUGUCCUUCUCAUGCACAUGGUUGUUAUUUGCAUUAAAUGAGAUAAUGGGCAUGAAAGCAAUGGAAAACUCUUAAGGUACUCUACAAAUAUAGAAUAUAAUCAUUUUGAAAGCACCUGGCUUUGUAGACAACUGCGUGAACUAAUGUAUAUUGAUCAAGACAUGUGUCUCGUUAGGUAAAAACUGAAAGUAAAACUCAUACACUUAAGAUGUGAAAAUAAACUCAGCAUCUGGCGUAACACUAAUUUCAAAAAGUAGUAUAUUAAUUUCAAGUAGGAAAUUAAAACAAUAAAACUGUGAUGUGAAAAAUGUUCAACAUUGAUGCCUCUGACCUACUUCUGAUGUCCAACAUAUUUACAAUUCUCCCGAAGACAUUUCUAUUAGGUUAAAACCCAUUAGUAUUUGUGAACAAACACAGAGUUUCUACCAUUCACUGGGCACUAUUAGGUACUAGGUGUCCGGGGAUAUUUCUAUUGCUGUUCUUAGCUCUAUUGUUGGUUUACUUGGCCAGUGGUUGCUAGCUUUGCCAGUGUGUGUGUGUUUGUGUGUGUGUGUUACUUAUCACAAGUUUCGUUAGCUUGACAAAGAGCUGUGUAUAUUCAUUUACAUGACAAAUACUUUUUUUGGAUUAGCAACUCUAAUAAGUACAGGGUAUUUAGAAACUGUGUGUGUGUUUUUCUACCUGCAGUCGUAGUCUUAAGUAUGUUUCUUAAUAGCUAUUGAACAUAAGUUUAAUAUUAGCUGGAUGAAUAAAGUAUUAGUUACUGUAUUCUCUUAAAAAUAGACGUAGCUUUGUUACAGCACAGAAAACUGAGCUGACCUCUUACUAGAUUGGCUAAAAUGAAUUCUGAUUAAACAUUUUGUAAUGGUUUAUAAAGUUCGCUUCUCUACAGUAUAUUAAAAGAUUUGUUUAAAUGUUGACUGUAAGUUUGGUAAAAAUGACAAAGCGGUAAAAAUGACAUUUGGUAAAAAUGACAAGGCUUACACUUUUUGAUGAUGUUCAUUUUCCCCAAAAGUACAGCUAAAGCUUUAUCCAUUAUAAUGAGAGUUCAGAAAAGGCAAAUGACCACCUCUUUUUUUAAACCAAUAUGUCUUUGUGCAGUAAUUUUCUUGUGGCAAGUGGCAUAAUCUGGGCGAAGGUAGUGAUAAAACUCAGAUAUAUUUCAAGAAAGCGAGUAAACACACUAAUGACAAUAUUCGUAUAUUACAUGCAUCUGCUGCUUAUGUACUUAAAAAAACUAAAUAGGAAAAUCUUACUCAUCUCUGUAGAAAAACAGGGUAGAGAUUACAACUUGGGGACUUCGUGAUAUUUUGUCUGUGUGCAGUUUGUCAGAAGGCAAUUUAUCUAAAGCUGGAAAAGGAUAUGGUUUGGCUGACUAAACUGUGUAGUGAUACGAGUGAUACGUAAUGAUAAAAAUGCUUAGGGGAAUUUUCGGGGCGCUCAAGUCAAGUGUACAGUGCUGUGUGGGUGUAAAAACCAGACUUCUCUCUCUGUGAAAGUUGCUGACAUUUUAUACCACAUGCUGGACCGUUAAAUCACAAUUUACGUGGUCACUUGUAAAUACGCCUGGUGGUGGAGGGCGAGCUUGUUUGUGCACACUUUGACAUGCUUCCCUGUUGUGUGCCUCUCCCCUUUUUAAAUUGCACUGGAUACUUUUGUUCUGGAAUCCUUGGCUGUCUAACCUGAAAGCAGUUUGGGUGAGAACUCUGGAACUGAUUUAUUUUCAUAGGUGCUCCCUGAGGGGAGGUUUGAAGGAUAAUGCAGAAAAGCAAGCCUUCCAAUCCUCCAACUAAAGUUCUCUAACUUGCUAUUAACAUGAUUUCAGGCUUGCUAGAGUGCCCGAAAUUCUGACAUGAAGGGAUUCCUUCUUCCACCACUGGGAUUUGGAAGUCCCUAGGAUGUUUGAAUGGGGCAUAUUAUUUAAACUCAUUUUCAGUCUCCUCAUUGGUAAAAUGGGGCUACUCAUACUUAUCAAAGAGGGUUUUUGUGGAGAUCAAAUGAGACAAUGCAAGUCACUUACUUGAUAUAUGCUUAAUAGUGACAAACAUAGUGAUAUAUAUAUAUUAAUAGUGAUAGUUAUUGCAAUUUUUCUUUUUGUUAGGGGGAAGAGGAGGACAAACAGGCCUUUAACAUGGUGGAGAAUUUGUUUCCCUUCCAAAUACAGUUGGAGGAUUACAGAAUUGAUGCUCAAAGAGAAGGCUUUGCUUUCAUUGCUUAAGAGGGUUUCUUGGAGAGGUUCAGCAAGAGAAACACAAAAUGAGAUGUAGAAAGGGGAUGGGGAAGGAGACUGCAUACUAAUGUGUUUCAUUUCCAAGUGCUUUAACUUUUCUAAGCACUAAGUCAUCUGCUAACUUGUCUUCAUAAUAUAUGGGUAAAGUUGGCAGGGUGGGUAUCCCUUUCUACGGGUGAGGAAACUGGAGUGUGGACAGAUAAACUCACCUGUUGUCACACAACAAAUCAGUGGUACAGUUGGGAUUAGGACCCAUGUCUCAUACUCUGAGCACAGCAGUCUCUCUAUUAGGUGACAUUCUCAGAGUUCAAUAAUUUCUUUCACAGUUUUGUGUUCAGACCUGGGGUCCCCAUUGCUGAGCCUAUUAUUGGCACCUUACAAAAUAUCACAUAUGAGAAAGGUUGUAGUCUCUUGGUCCAAAGGACUACUUUCACCUGGAGAUGGUUGGAGUUGUAGUAUCUGAGUUAGAUAAGUUUUCACUUCACGGUCAUGGGUGGAGGUCUUUCUUGGACUUGGGCCAGGAAGAAUCACUGACCAGGAAGGUCACACAAGGCCUGAGUCCUUUCUAACACCAUCUGUGCACUGUAUUUCAGGGCCUAGUGGCUGCAUUGAAAGGAAUGGAAAGUAGUUGCUGGUUAUGUUGAGAAAUAUCAGGAAAGUGUGAUGCCUUUCUCCUGUAUUCCCUCUUCCCUCCCUCAUUUUUUCACUUUAUUGAUAAAAAUAAUCCCAAAAGAUCAGAGAGGGGUUCUAUAGGUGUUAAACCACUGUGUUAUGACUUGAACUACAAAGCCCUUGGGGGCAUUCAAUUUCCUCAUGUUUUGGGGUAGCAGCAAAAUUUAAUUUUAGGUAGAAAAGGGUUAACUUAGGGGCAAUGUAAUUCCCAAAUUAUCAGUGUGAAAAUCAUCUAACUGUAUGUGAAAAAUCCAAUAAUGUUAAAGGUAAUUAUCUGGGAAAGUAAAAAUAAUACACAGGUCUUUGGCCAGAAAUAAGGAUUUGGAACAUUUCUCUAUGCAUAGAGAGUUCUCUAGUAGGCAAAUUUAGAUUCAUGUCAGUCAUUAAAGGUCCCUGUGAAGUAUUUAGUUUAUCAAUUUAGCGCUACAUUUUUCUACAAAGAAGAGUUGGAGUGGUUUAGGUAAGAACACAGAUAUGCUAAAACCAAACCAGAUGAACCCAAGACAGAAACUAGAAAGAAGGCAGAAGGAGAGGAUGAAGAUGUAGCAGUGAGAAGCCUGUUGGAGGAAAGUUUGAGUCAGUGAAUGUAAGCACUUUAGCUUCCUUGUGGCCUGGAGAGCAGGUAUUUUUUGGCUAUUUUCUUUUUUUAUACAUGUAUCUCCAGCACUAGAAGAGUGCCUGACCUGUAGUUGCUCAAUCAAUACUUGCUGAAUAAAAAUAUAUGAAAAUCUGUCAAAUAAAGGGUUUAAAAAAGCUGGA